UUGAAUUAGCGGCCGCGCAAUCGCCCUUGAGAUUUGAUCAUGGCUCAGGACGAACGCUGGCUGCGUGCUUAACACAUGCAAGUCGAACGCGUGAAGCCCCAGCUUGCUGGGGUGGAUGAGUGGCGAACGGGUGAGUAACACGUGAGUAACCUGCCCCCGACUUCGGGAUAAGCCCGGGAAACUGGGUCUAAUACCGGAUAUGACUCUUCUAACGCAUGUUGGAGAGUGGAAAGUUUUUCGGUUGGGGAUGGGCUCGCGGCCUAUCAGUUUGUUGGUGAGGUAAUGGCUCACCAAGACGACGACGGGUAGCCGGCCUGAGAGGGCGACCGGCCACACUGGGACUGAGACACGGCCCAGACUCCUACGGGAGGCAGCAGUGGGGAAUAUUGCACAAUGGGGGAAACCCUGAUGCAGCGACGCAGCGUGCGGGAUGACGGCCUUCGGGUUGUAAACCGCUUUCAGCAGGGAAGAAGCCCUUCGGGGUGACGGUACCUGCAGAAGAAGUACCGGCUAACUACGUGCCAGCAGCCGCGGUAAUACGUAGGGUACAAGCGUUGUCCGGAAUUAUUGGGCGUAAAGAGCUCGUAGGUGGUUGGUCACGUCUGCUGUGGAAACGCAACGCUUAACGUUGCGCGUGCAGUGGGUACGGGCUGACUAGAGUGCAGUAGGGAGUCUGGAAUUCCUGGUGUACGGUGAAAUGCGCAGAUAUCAGAGGAACACCGGUGGCCGAAAGCGGGACUCUGGGGCUGUAACUGACACUGGAG
rnacentral:rRNA from 1 species